rnacentral:lncRNA from 1 species
GAUGGAGAUGGAUGAGCACCCGGAUAUCCUGCCCACCCAGGGGCAAGGCAACAUCAUCAUUACUAAGUAUGAGCAGGGACGCUGAGCUGGGGCAGCAGUGGACACAGAGCAUGAGCGUGUUGACAUCUGGAAAUUCACCAGUCGUCUCUGGGUUGUGUGUGAGACAGAGCUGCCCGUGUCAGUGCCCUGGAGGUGCAAAGGUGUCAGGAAAUAAAAUGUACUGACAAGUGGCUGAAGAUGCUUGGAGACUGGCCAAAAUAUAAGAACAGCAAGACUGUCUCGAAGCAGGUACAAAGGCAUUCCCCUGGUGUGAGGCCAGGCGUGGGCACUUCUGCUAGACAUUGACAAAGUCAAGUCCCAGAACCCAGGAAAUACAAGAUGAAGGAGAAGGGCAAGAGGUCCUCCAGGAUCACCCACCGCAUCAAGGCAGAUGUCAGCCACACCCUGCAGAAUCACAUGAUGUGAGGUGGGCUACCACAGGGACCUGAGCCGCAACACUGCCGUCCUCCUUUAUCUGCCGGAGGAAGAUGCUUUCUGGGUGGCUGGCUCAGCUGCUGGCCGGUGAGAGGCACUCCCUGCAGGAGUAUUCCACAGCCCAAAUACUGCCCAGCUCCGGAAGCUCCUAUCACAUCAGGAGCAGGUGCUGCACAAGUCCUUCCCAAAGAUCAUGAGACAGCUGGGCAAGGAAGGGCUAUGCAUUGAGGGUUCCAUGCUGACGAGGCUCCUCCAGUGUUUCCUUGAUGGGCCACCUCACUGCUGAGAUGAGUCCCCCAUGAGGAGCUGCAGGACCUUGUCUGACCGCAGCCUCAUGGAGGGGUCUCAUCCCAUGGAAAGGGGUCCUCAGCACUCCAGAGGACUGAAACCCCAAUGGGUCCUGCUCAGGCCACCAGCCCCAGCCUGGAAAGGCCAGGUCCUCCCACACCUGCUGUCCCCAAAGAAAUCCUUCGGGCUCACCCUGCGACUGUGGGAUGUGCUUAUCUUGGAGGGCGAGCAGGUACUGACAGCCAUGGCGCAUGCAUCAUUCAAAAUACACAGGGAGCACCUCAUGAAGCUUUCCUGGAGCACCGUCUGGGAGUUUCAGGAGCGACUCUCUCAGAGCUGGGCCCUGGAGGACAACUCGGUCCUCAGGAACCUUCAAACCUCUAUGAAGGAACUCACAAAAAAACACUGGGACCUGCCAUCCCCAGGAGAACUCGAGAGAGGGUCCUCGAGGGUGUCUCCUGGCAUUAGGCCCCUCUGUGAGGGGGACAGAUUGGCCCUGCCCAGCCCACCAGCUCAGCUCCAGGGGCUCAUGCCAUCAGCCCCCCAGGACAAAAGCCUUGUCCUCCCCCAGCCUGGCCUGACAGGGUUGUCUCCAUGGCGGAGGCCAAGGCCCAGCAGCACGAAGGGGCUUCCCCAGAACCCAGGGCAGCAGGCUGCUCUCUGGGUGGCCCAGAGGAUCAAGAUGUGGCCACCCUGUUUCCCGGUGAGGUCAGGCCUCGUAUUACAUAAAAAUACCUGUGCUGGGACUCUAUGCCACACCUCCACACAGACCUGGAUGCUGGGAUCCAUGGUUUCCUUACUACAAUUUUGA